rnacentral:rRNA from 1 species
GGAAAAGAAACCAACAGGGAUUGCCUUAGUAACGGCGAGUGAAGCGGCAACAGCUCAAAUUUGAAAUCUGGCCCUCGGGUCCGAAUUGUAAUUUGUAGAGGAUGAUUUUGGUGCGGUAUCUUCCGAGUUCCUUGGAACAGGACGCCUUAGAGGGUGAGAGCCCCGUACGGUUGAAUGCCUAGCCUCUGUAAAUCUCCUUCGACGAGUCGAGUAGUUUGGGAAUGCUGCUCUAAAUGGGAGGUAAAUUUCUUCUAAAGCUAAAUAUUGGCCAGAGACCGAUAGCGCACAAGUAGAGUGAUCGAAAGAUGAAAAGCACUUUGAAAAGAGGGUUAAAUAGCACGUGAAAUUGUUGAAAGGGAAGGAUUUGUGACCAGACUUUUUCUGGGCGGAUCAUCCGGGGUUCUCUCCGGUGCACUUUGCCCAGUAAAGGCCAGCAUCGAUUUUCGGCGGCGGAUAAAAGCAGUGGGAAUGUGGCUCCCUACGGGGAGUGUUAUAGCCCAUUGUAUAAUACGCUGCUGGGGAUCGAGGUACGCGCUUCUGCAAGGAUGCUGGCGUAAUGGUUAUCAAUCACCCG